rnacentral:rRNA from 1 species
GCCAUAUCACCAUGAACGUGCCCAAUCUCGUCUGAUCUUGGAAGCUAAUCGGGGUUGGGGCUGGUUAGUACUUGGAUGGGA